UCAGUCGACUCCUACGGGAGGCAGCAGUGGGGAAUAUUGCACAAUGGGGGAAACCCUGAUGCAGCCAUGCCGCGUGUGUGAAGAAGGCCUUCGGGUUGUAAAGCACUUUCAGUAGGGAGGAAGGUAGUGUAGUUAACACCUGCAUUAUUUGACGUUACCUACCAGAAGAAGCACCGGCUAACUCCGUGCCAGCAGCCGCGGUAAUACGGAGGGUGCGAGCGUUAAUCGGAAUUACUGGGCGUAAAGCGCAUGCAGGCGGCCUGUUAAGUCAGAUGUGAAAGCCCGGGGCUUAACCUCGGAAUUGCAUUUGAAACUGGCAGGCUAGAGUCUUGUAGAGGGGGGUAGGAAUUUCAGGUGUAGCGGUGAAAUAGCGUAGAGAUCUGAAGGAAUACCAGUGGCGAAGGCGGCCCCCUGGACAAAGACUGACGCUCAGAUGCGAAAGCGUGGGGAGCAAACAGGAUUAGAUACCCCUGGUAG
rnacentral:rRNA from 1 species